rnacentral:rRNA from 1 species
UACGUAGGGUGCGAGCGUUGUCCGGAAUUACUGGGCGUAAAGAGCUCGUAGGUGGUUUGUCGCGUUGUUCGUGAAAACCGGGGGCUUAACCCUCGGCGUGCGGGCGAUACGGGCAGACUUGAGUACUGCAGGGGAGACUGGAAUUCCUGGUGUAGCGGUGGAAUGCGCAGAUAUCGGGAGGAACACCUGAGGCGAAGGCGGGCUACUGGGCCGAUACUGACGCUGAUGCGCGAAAGCCAGGGGAGCGAACGGG